GCAGAAUUCAGUGAAUCAUCGAAUCUUUGAACGCAAAUGGCGCUCUUGGGUUCUCCCAGGAGCAUGUCUGUCUGAGUGUCUUUUUCGUUGAAUGACAUUCGCACGAUGUGGCCGUGUCAUGCACUGGCGUUUCGUGCGGCGUUGAGGUUCGCGGCCUUGCUAUUCUUAGGCCGCGUGCCUUUAAAUGGAGGAGGAAGAUGGGCUCAAGGUCCGGUGCAGUCGCAUGCGGAUUCAGUUCAUGUGCCGCAUGUGACUGCUGCACCGGGGAAUAUUGUCCUCGGCCCUCUACCUCGUGACCUUUAGCACGACGUUCGUUCGUUCGUUCGUUGCUUGCCGCCAGACCUCAGAUCAGGCAAGGCUACCCGCUGAAUUUAAGCAUAUUAAUAAGCGGAGGAAAAGAAACUAACAAGGAUUCCCCCAGUAACGGCGAGUGAAGCGGGAAGAGCUCAAAUUUGAAAUCUCCGAUGCCUGCAUCGGCGAGUUGUAGUUGCGAGAAGCACUUUCUAGGCGGAAGGGCCCUGCCUAAGUUGCUUGGAACAGCACGUCGCAGAGGGUGACAACCCCGUCU
rnacentral:sRNA from 2 species